rnacentral:rRNA from 1 species
AGAGUUUGAUCAUGGCUCAGGACGAACGCUGGCGGCGUGCCUAAUACAUGCAAGUAGAACGCUGAAGACUGGUGCUUGCACUAGUCAGAUGAGUUGCGAACGGGUGAGUAACGCGUAGGUAACCUACCUCAUAGCGGGGGAUAACUAUUGGAAACGAUAGCUAAUACCGCAUGACAAUUAAGUACUCAUGUACUAAAUUUAAAAGGAGCAAUUGCUUCACUAUGAGAUGGACCUGCGUUGUAUUAGCUAGUUGGUGAGGUAACGGCUCACCAAGGCUACGAUACAUAGCCGACCUGAGAGGGUGAUCGGCCACACUGGGACUGAGACACGGCCCAGACUCCUACGGGAGGCAGCAGUAGGGAAUCUUCGGCAAUGGGGGCAACCCUGACCGAGCAACGCCGCGUGAGUGAAGAAGGUUUUCGGAUCGUAAAGCUCUGUUGUUAGAGAAGAACGGUAAUGGGAGUGGAAAAUCCAUUACGUGACGGUAACUAACCAGAAAGGGACGGCUAACUACGUGCCAGCAGCCGCGGUAAUACGUAGGUCUCGAGCGUUGUCCGGAUUUAUUGGGCGUAAAGCGAGCGCAGGCGGUUAUUUAAGUCUGAAGUUAAAGGCCGUGGCUCAACCAUGGUUCGCUUUGGAAACUGGAUAACUUGAGUGCAGAAGGGGAGAGUGGAAUUCCAUGUGUAGCGGUGAAAUGCGUAGAUAUAUGGAGGAACACCGGUGGCGAAAGCGGCUCUCUGGUCUGUAACUGACGCUGAGGCUCGAAAGCGUGGGGAGCAAACAGGAUUAGAUACCCUGGUAGUCCACGCCGUAAACGAUGAGUGCUAGGUGUUAGGCCCUUUCCGGGGCUUAGUGCCGCAGCU